rnacentral:rRNA from 1 species
GGGCCCGCACAAGCAGUGGAGCAUGUGGUUUAAUUCGAAGAUACGCGCAGAACCUUACCAACACUUGACAUGUUCGUCGCGACUUUAAGAGAUUAAAGUUUUCGGUUCGGCCGGACGAAACACAGGUGCUGCAUGGCUGUCGUCAGCUCGUGUCGUGAGAUGUUGGGUUAAGUCCCGCAACGAGCGCAACCCUCACUUUUAGUUGCCAUCAUUUAGUUGGGCACUCUGAAAGAACUGCCAGUGAUAAGCUGGAGGAAGGUGGGGAUGACGUCAAGUCCUCAUGGCCCUUACGUGUUGGGCUACACACGUGCUACAAUGAUAUCUACAACAGGAAGCAAGACGGCGACGUUAAGCAAAUCCUUAAAAGAUAUCUCAGUUCGGAUUGCACUCUGCAACUCGAGUGCAUGAAGCUGGAAUUACUAGUAAUCG